rnacentral:rRNA from 1 species
AGGGUUCGAUUAUGGCUCAGGAUGAACGCUGGCGGCAUGCCUAAUACAUGCAAGUCGAACGGACGGAAGAUGAGCUUGCUCAUUGGAAGUCAGUGGCGAACGGGUGAGUAACACGUAGGGAAUCUGCCCAUGUGCCCGGGACAACAGAUGGAAACGUCUGCUAAAACCGGAUAGGUGGCAAGGAGGCAUCUUCUUGCGAUUAAAGGGGCUACGGCCUUGAACAUGGAUGAUCCUGCGGUGCAUUAGCUGGUUGGUGAGGUAACGGCUCACCAAGGCGAUGAUGCAUAGCCGACCUGAGAGGGUGAACGGCCACAUUGGGACUGAGACACGGCCCAA